GAAAGCACUGGUGCCACUAGUCCCUGACCUCUUCCUUAGACAAGUUGCAAAUGAAAAUUGAGGAAUUGGAGUAGCUAUGGAAACCAGGAGGGAAGGAUUUUUUUUUUAAUGCAUAUGAAUAAGAACAAAAUGACUGGCAUCCCUUUUUCUUUUUCUAUCUGUGACAAAAUUGUGUCCUGGUUUCUACCUUCACUUAGAGUAAAUUAUGGGGGAAAGAACAUGAUGAAGACCUGCUAUUGUCACAGUGUCAUUUCCUCUUUCUUUUUUUCUGUGGACUAAUUUUAAAGCCAUUUGAUAGAGUUAAUCAUACAGGCCAGUCCCAUUGUCCCUGCAAAUGUCUGCCUUCGUGCAGGUGAUUUUGUAGAGAGGGGCUUCUCCAAUAAAGAAGAGCUUCUCUUUCAACUCCAUGGACAUUGGAGAGAGUCCCUUUCAAAAUAAGGAGACUCAUGUCUGGAGAGACAAAGGCCUUUACUUUCUCAAAGGCCUCUUGGCCCAAGCCCAGACCCUCACCACAGCUGACAACAUGUCUAGCCUGCACUACUGCAAGGACUUCUUGGUCUGCGGUAGUGUGGUCAGCUGAAGAAGCCUGCUUAGUUGCUUCAGCAGGGGCUCACACUAAGAAAGGUUGGGUCAAAGUUAUAAAGUGACUGUGAAUGAGAACUCAGUGUGGGCUCUAUCAAGCAGAGAAGGCACGCAGAGUUGAGAAAAGUGAAAGCCAUAAAACUAUGUUAAGCCAAAAAAUAAAAAUUAAUAA